CACAAACUACUGCAUAAUCGCACUCAUCUCACAUGCUAGCAAAGUAAUGCUCAAAAUUUUCCAAGCCAGGCUUUAACAAUACGUGAACCGUGAAUUUCCAGAUGUUCAAGCUGGAUUUAAGGCAGAGGAACCAGGGAUCAAAUUGCCAACAUCCACUGGCUCAUUGAAAAAGCAAGAGAGUUCUAGAAAAACAUCUACUUUUGCUUUAUUGACUGUGGAAUACUACAAACCAUGGAAAAUUCUGAAAGAGAUGAGAAUACCAGACCACCUGACCUGCCUCCUGAGAAAUCUGUAUGCAGGUCAAGAAGCAACAGUUAAAACUGGACAUGGAACAACAGACUGAUUCCAAAUUGGGAAAGGAGUAUGUCAAGGCUGUAUAUUGUCACCCUGCUUAUUUAACUUACUUGCAGCGUAAAUCAUGCAAAAUGCUGGGCUGGAGGAAGCACAAGCUGGAAUCAAGCUUUCCAGGAGAAAUAUCAAUAACCUCAGAUAGGCAGAUGACACCACCCUUAUGGCAGAAAGCUAAGAGGAACUAAAGAGCCUCUUGAUGGAAGUGAAAGGAGAGUGAAAAAGUUGGCUUAAAGCUUAACAUUCAAAAAACUAAGAUCAUGGCAUCCAGUCCCAUCAUUUCAUGGCAAAUAGAUGGGGAAACAGUGACAGACUUUAUUUUGGGGGGCUUCAAAAUCACUGCAGAUGGUGACUGCAGCCAUGAAAUUAAAAGACACUUGCUCCUUGGAAGAAAAGCUAUGACCAACCUAGAGAGCAUAUUAAAAAACAGAGACAUUACUUUACCAAAAAGGUCGGUCUAGUCAAAGCUAUGGUUUUUCCAGUAGUCAUGUAUGGAUACGAGAGUUGGAACUAUAAAGAAAGCUGAGUGCCAAAGAAUCGAUGCCUUUGAACUGUUGUGUUGGGGAAGGACUGCAAGGAGAUCCAACCAGUCAGUCCUAAAGGAAAUUAGUCCUGAAUAUUCAUUGGAAGGAUUGAUGCUUAAGCUGAAACUCCGAUACUUUGGCCACCUGAUGCGAAGAACCGAUUCAUUGGGAAAGAACCUGAUGCUGGGAAAGACUGAAGGCAGAAGGAGAAGGGGAUGAUAGAGGAUGAGAUAGCUGGAUGGCAUCAUUGACACGAUGGACAGGAGUUUGUGUAGGCUCCAGUAGUUGGUGAUAGACAGGGAAGCGUGGCGUGCUGCAGUUCAUGGGAUCGCAAAGAGUAGGACACGACUGAGCAAUUGAACUGAACUGAACUGAGUAGGUGAGAUGGGGAGAUGGCAGAAGCUCUGGGUUAUUCCCAGUUGUGAGAGUUAAUGUCUCCUGUGGAGAGUAAAUGGAGCCCAGUUUUCCAGGAUUUCCCAAGGUCUCUAGGUAACACCUGACCCAUAACUGGUUUAUGUGACCUUGCCUGAGUGGUGGUAUUGGUCCCUGAUACCAGGCCAGUAUAGGCUUUUCAGGUGGCUCAGUGGUAAAGAACUCACCUGCCAAUGUAAGAGAUGUGAGUUUGGUCCCUAGAUUGGGAAGAUACCCUAGAGUAGGAAAUCGCAACCUGCUCCGGUAUUCUUGCCUAGAAAAUUCCAUGGACAGAGGAGCCUGGUGGGCUACUGUCCAUGGGGUCACAAAAAGUCAAACAUGACUUACAGAUUGAGCACACACAGAAACACCAGGCUAAUAGAGUGUAAUCACUAAGAAUCUUUAGGAACCAAUUCACCUGCAUUUAAAUCCUAUCUCUGACAUGGGAUAUCUGGGUUUGAUCUCUACGUAGGGAAGAUCCCCUAAAGAAGGGGAUGACAACCCACUCUAGUAUUCCUGUCUGAAAAAUUCUACAGACAAAGGAGCCUGGUGGGCUACAGUCCAUAUUGUUGCAAAGAGUCGGACAUGACUGAAUGACUAGCACUUUCACUAUCUGAUAUGUGACAUGAAGUACCUUACUGAGUGUCCCUGAGCCUCAGUUUCCCUGUCUGUAAAAUGGACUCCUCCUAAGACUGUUGUGGAGGUUAAACAAACUGAUAGAUGUCGCAUGUUCAGAGAUGUUGGACAUGAUGAGUGUGAACCAUUAUGUUUACUUCCUCUGGUGCCUGCAAAGGUUUUUGCUCUGGAAACUUGUGAUUCACUGUCUCUCCAAUUUUUGUGACAGCAUUUUUCUCCUGUGACCUCAAUUCUCUGACAGAUCUAUGAAGAACUGUUCAUUUUCAGUUUGUUUGGCUUUCUCCUUGUCCUUAGGACCGGAGAAAUGACUUACAAGCUCCUUACACACUGGACUGGCAACUGAAAGUUGCCAUUACUUUUAUAGCAAUUAGAAGUGGUUUCCAGCAGCCUAAUCAGUACAUAUUUAUCAAACUAAACUGUGCAAUGCAUUGUAGAGAUGCAAGACUCAGGCAUCUCAUGGUCUGGUUUGGGAACUAGAAGAGAGACAUGAAAUGAUGACAAAUGAUGCUGGGUGAAUUUUCCAGAUGCUAAGAGGGGGAGAAAAUCAACCCUGAGUAUACAUUGGAAGGGCUGAUGCUUAAGCUGAAGCUCCAAUACUUUAGCCACCUGAUGCAAAGAGCUGACUCAUUUGAAAAGACCCUGAUGCUAGGCAUGAUUGACGGCAGGAGGAGAAGGGGGUGACAGAGGAUGAGAUGAUUGGAUGGCAUCAUCAACUCAAUGGCAUGAGUUUGAACAAACUCUGGGAGAUAGUGAAGGGCAGGGAAGCCUGGCAUGCUGCAGUCCAUGGGGUAACAAAGAGUUGGACAUGAAUGAGCAACUGAACACCACCACCGCCAAAGAGGGGAGAGAGUUCUCGGCUAGUUAGGGUGGUCAGAUAUGACCCCAGAGGCAAGGGAAAACAAUGUAAUAUAAAUAUAAUGUAUUAAAAAUAUGAAAGUGGAAAGUAUAAAUUUUGCUGGGGGUAGGAGGCAGGGUCUAGGCCAGUUCUCCUUAGGACAGAAGAUGGGCAGAUUGGGACCGAUUGAUUAUCUCUGUCACAAUAAUGUUUUUUGUUUGCCCUUCUUGAUGGCAAUCAACUUUGAGGUCUUAAUAUUUCUAAUAUGUAGUGUGAUAUCUGGCAUAACUAAGCAACUUAUAACUGUGUAUUAAAUAUUUGACCUCUGAUUUUUCUUUCCCUCAUCUGUAUUUAAGAAUUAAAAUGAAACUACCUAUUGGGAAUUCCUUGGCAGUCCAGUGGUUAGGAUUCCAAGAGUCUCCUGCAGGGGGCACUGUUUCUAUCUCUGGUAGAGGAACCAAGAUCCCAAGCACAAAAAAACCACCGUAAAACUAACACAAAAAAGUCCUACCUUAUAGGACUAUAGUGAGAAUUUAUUUAUUUAUUUAUUUUGCCACCCUGCAUGGUAUGUGGGAUUUUAAUUCCCUGACCUUGGAUUGAACUUGUAUCCCUCAUAUUGCAAGUGCUGUCUUAACCACUGGGCUGCCAGGGAAAUCCUCAUAGUGAAAAUUUAGAUGAGAUGGUACAGUUAACAUAACUUAGAACACUCUCCACUUAGUGAUCAUUACAGUGUCCUUUAAAGUGUAGCUCUUACUGUUUUUUCUAUUAAUAUUAGUGCAAAGACUAAAAUUAGGGAAAUAAUUUCAGGUAAUCACCUCUUGCUACAUGCUCACUUUACUUCCUUAUCCCUUUCAUUGGUACUAAAGCAGUGAUUGGUGAAGGGCAUCCAUUGGUAGAUCUAAGAAAGCAGCAGCUCGUCCUUUUGGCCAUGGAGGGUUAUUCUUUUCUGGACUAGAGUUCCAAUCCAGUGCUCCAUUUCUCCAUUACUUUUCCACAUCCACCCUGCCCAGGGGAUGGAGGGCUGCCUUCCAGAGAGUGACUUGCUUUUCUAAAGCUGCUGCCUGCUGAGUGAAGAUUUGGGAACCAUCCUGCUUCCCAGAAUCACUGCAGGUGGUGAUUGUAGCAAUGAAAAGACGCUUACUCCUUGGAAGGAAAGUAAUGACCAACCUAGACAGCAUAUUAAAAAGCAGAGACAUUACUUUGCCAACAAAGGUCCAUCUAGUCAAGGCUAUGGUUUUUCCAGUGCUCAUGUAUGGAUGUGAGAGUUGGACUAUAAAGAAAGCUGAGCGCCGAAGAAUUGAUUCUUUUGAACUGUGGUGUUGGAGAAGACUCUUGAGAGUCCCUUGGACUGCAAGGAGAUCCAACCACUCCAUCCUAAGGGAGAUCAGUCCUGGGUGUUCAUUGGAAGGACUGAUGUUGAAGCUGAAACUCCAACAGUUUGGCCACCUGGUGUAAAAAGCUGACUCCUUGGAAAAGACCCUGAUGCUGGGAAAGAUUGAGGGCAGGAGGAGAAGGGGACUACAGAGGAUGAGAUGGUUGGAUGGCAUCAUUGACUCGAUGGACAUGGGUUUGGGUGGACUCUGGGAGUUGGUGAUGGACAGGGAGGCCUGAUAUGCUGUGGUUCAUUGGGUCACAAAGAGUCGGACACAACUGAGUGACUGAACUGAACUAAAGUGCUUCCCAGGUGGCUUAGCUGGUAAAGAACCCGCCUGCAAUAUGGGAAACCUGGGUUCGGUCCUUGGGUCCUAGAGAAGGGAACAGCUAUCCACUCCAAUAGCCUGACCUGGAGAAUUCCAUAGAUGGAAGAGCCUCGUGGCCUACAAUCCAUGGAGUCACAAAGAGUCAGACACAACUGAGCAAUUAACACUUUCGCUGCUUCAAGUAUGAUCCUUUGUUGGGCUCCAUGACCCUUUUGUGGGUUCAGUUCACAUGUCAGGCAGAACCGAAAACAUUUCAUUUGCAUAGCCACAGAGAAGACUGGUGUAGAAACCACACUUGUUUUCCACUCUCUCUCUCUCUCUCUUUUUCCUCCCCAUAAAUGACAAUCUAUGACUCUUAGCACUUUAAUAGACUGCGAAUUGAUUCGUGUGCAAGAUGGAAAUAGUGAAAGGGUUUGACUGAGAAUAAUUUUUUUCUUCUCUUUUCUGUGUUUCAUUUUACAAUAGAAUGGGCUCUGAACACCUUCCAGAUUCUCUUCCUUCUGAUCACACUGUCUAUUAUAAUUCCGCCCGAUGGCAAACUUCUCCUUAUUGACUCUAAAUUACAUUUAAUCCUGUUAGGAUCACUUUUUAUUGAAAGGCAUGCAUUGUGAUGGCAUUGACGGGAGUCCAGAAGCCAAGAUGCCCAGCUAGAGGAAAAUAAACUCUUGGAGUUUCCUAAUGCUUGUCAUUUUCAUGCUGGGCCCAGCUGUGUAGCCUCUUGAAGGAUGUAGAGGAUUGGGGUGUUCAGUGCCGAUAAUGGUGGGCUCCUGGGUGGUGUGGAAAACUCUCCACCACAAGGAAAUAAUCUUUUGAGCCCAGUGGACUAAGAACCAAAGGCCAUUUUGUGCUAAGAUAGUAUAAUUCUAUUAGUGAAAGGCCCUUGCAGGGGGAAAUUGCCUGUGCUAAAAUCUGUGCACAAAUUAAAAUAACUGGGCUAAGGGGGGGAAAUAUCUCUAUAAAAGGCUUUAUAACUCUAGUGGAUAAUAAUAUCCUUGUCACUUUCGGAGUUGAGUACCUAAAGAUACAGGAGCUUUUUUAAAACAACAUAUGGGCCUUCUCUACUAAACUUUAGAUUGGAUAAUACAUCCGUUCUUGGGUGCUUAUUUGACAAAUUUGAAAGCUAUGCCAAAGCGUACUUUUAUUCUUAUCAAGAAAAAGGAAGACCAGAAAUCUCUGAAUAUUAUUGCUGUGUGUUGACACCUUAUAAGAUUUAUGUCAUCUAAAAGCCCUAUUUUGGCUAAAUGUUUUGUGUCUGUAAGUUCCCUGUAAUUUUGCAUAGGAUUUUUUUUGGGGGGGGGGAAGGAGUAUUGUUAAUAUUUCUGUUUUGAUAUGGCUUGUAAAAUUUAUUUAAAUGCACACCUCUGUUUGGAAUAGCUUCAUUAGGAAGAGGUGAAUUGGGAAAAAGAAAAAGCUGUCAGCAUAAAUGCUGUUCCUUUUCCAGGGUGACAGAAAUUGAAAGUCCAAAGGACUAUAGCAGUUGAAUAGCUAACUCCAUGUAUCACAGUGCUGUCUGCACGGCAGGCCCUCCUCACUGAUUGGACGACAGCUGCAGAUUUAAAGUUUAUGCUACAUUUCUCUAAUUCUAUGACAAAGACAAUGUGAUCAGCAGACUGUCACAUAUUUGAAAAUUAUGUCAUGUAAGUAAAUACACAGUUCAUAAUUCUAUAAAAGGAUGAAGGCAACAUUUAUUCUGGAAUUAACCUGUAACAAAACAGAUAAUUCUUUGAGCUCUCGCAAUGGACUACAGUAUCUAGUCCUGGUACAUCUUUUUCUUAAAUUAUUGCAAAAUUAAGAUAGUAACCAACUGGUUUUACUUUCUCCUGCCCUUCUGUCUCCUUUCAUUCUCUUCCUCCUCCCGACCUCCCCCUUUUGCUUCCCUCCUUUUCUCCCUUUCACUUUUUUCCCGUAUCUCGUUCUCUUCCUAACUCUCCAUCUACUCACUUAUUCACUCACCCGCCUGUUCACUUAGUCCUCCUCUUAUCCUUUCAUGAAACAUGCAUUAAGGACCUGUUUUAGCUCAGGCAUGGUAUGACUACAUUUCGAUCAAGACACAUACAGCUUUGGUCCUCAUGAAGCGUACAAUUUGUGUGGAAAUGGUGCUGGAUUCCCCAAAGAAAGACCUACCUGCUUAGGCACCCACCAGAGAUGUGCCCUCCCCCUCCUAUUUAAAAAUUGAGCUUGGUAUAUGAUACUUGGAGUAAGUAUUGGAGCAGUCAUCAUGGGAAAUAAAAUUUUGCUGGACAUCUUAAACUUAUUUAAAAGUUUUGAUUUUCUUCUUAAUUUCAAAAUCCAUAUGGUGUUGGAAGAGACACCAUUAUCCUGUCAGAGCUUAGGGCCUCUAAAAGUCUUAAUUGAGAACAUGUGGGGAACAAGUAAUUAGAUAGUGACAUUGAACAAGUAAUUAGAAGUGUGAUGAGGACGGUAAAGGAGAAGCACAGAGUGCUAUGGAGCAUGUGACGGGGGGCCUAACCUCCCUUCAUUUUUCUUGAUGAAAUCCAAGACAUGCACAUUUCAAACUACAACAGCAUCAAGCCCUUGAAAGGGUUUCUGUUUACAGUGCGCCUGCAGUGGGCAAGGGGUGGAGAGAAGUAAUCACUCUUACUGACUGCCUAUGAACUGGAUACAAGCACAGUCCUGGGCAGACUAAGAAGGAACUGAAGACCCUUGAGAAAGGAUUUGCAGGGCUAGGACAAAGAUUUGUUACCCUGACAAAACUGAAUGGUUGAACGACUUGACUUCAAAAAGUAAAAAUCAUUUUCUUUAUCUGCAAAUGGUAAGGAGAAAGGUAAAGGGAAGGUACAUAUAGCAGACACAUCACUGGCGUUGUUGCAUGGAUAAACUUUCAACAUUCUGCUCCUCGUGGCUUUGAGGUCUUCUGGAGGCCUAAUAUAAAAUAUGUUGACAUAAAGACUAAUUCCUGGGGUGGCUUUACAAUAAACCGGAAGUAGCAACAUAUUACAUGGUCCUUACAAUGUCUGACGGAAAAUUGUAUGGGAAUCAUAGGAAGAACGCAGUGCAGUCUAUUGAUAGGCUACAAAUCAGACGUUGCAGAAAAAUUGGGUGACAGCAGUUCUGUGGUGUUUCUGGAAGUUCCCGUUUCUGUAGCUUUUGGCAAUCUGUCAUUUUUGGGGGGGAAUCAGAGCUGCCGGUUUUCUCAGUUCCAAUUCUGGCUGGAUGGAUGAAGUCUUUUGGUCAAGAGUGGCUGUACCUCCUUCAAGAGUAAUAGAGUCUCAGGAAAAAAUGGUAUAGUUUAAGUAUUUAAUUCUGUAAACAAAAGAGAAACAGGAAACGAGAUAUCUUCCUACGAAGCAACCCAUUCCUGUUAGGGAAUUCCGCUCAUCAUUUUUAUUUUCUGGUAUUUCCCCACUGUACAGUUUUUAUUAUUCAAAUUUAGACCUUAAACAAAAAAACCUUUCUGUCCCCAUAAGCUUAAAACUGAGGACGCGUAUUAUAUUGAUUGUUCACUUCCUAAGAUGCUUUAUCUUUAGUCUCAUCUGAGCUCUACCAGUGUGAGCUGUUCUAAGAGAAAUAGGCUAUGCUGAGCCCUGGUGAAAAUUUGAACGUCGAUGUGUCCUCGAAGCAUACCUAUGAGAUAUACUGAGAGCACAGUAAAAUUGAGAAUCCCCACUGUGGGGUAUCCAGAAAUCCUUUAUUUGGCCGUUAAACUGUUCAUAGAGCUUAUUACUUUCAAGUGGUGACAGAAAAUCAUUGAGAAAGGUCCUUCCUGUCCAGCAAUGAAUAACAAAGAAAACAUCCCUGAGUAUCAAUUGUCCUGGUGGUGGUUGCUCUGAGCUCUGGGCACAUGCAAAACGGCUUGCCAGGCAGCCCUGAAGGUUUUACUUGAAAAUAUCAUUUUCCCUAAAGUUUUGGGGGGUAUGGGUUUACUUGUGUUUUAAUAAUUAUUAUUGGAAGAUUUCCCUUAUGAGGCUGAACUGUCCUUCUAUAAUGCUUCUAAGGGAGAAUCAUAGAUAAGGGAAGAAAGCAUACUGAAAAGAGGCCAAGACUGAAGGACUAGUGGGAGAUCACUGAGGGCAUUCCUUAGCUCACAGAAGAGUGGAACAUGAGCAGCUGAAAGAUGCAAAUCCUAGUUAAUAGCCUGGCUUCCAGAGCCAGACAGACAGGGCUGAAUUCUUUGCUCCACACUUUCUAGUUCUCUGAGCUUGGCUGGGCAAAUUAACUUUUCAGAACCUCAGUUCCCUCAUUUACAAAAUUAGCUGUAAAAUAUUUCCUUCCUUACAGAUAUUAUGAACAUCAUUAGUUGAGAGAAUGUUUGUUAAUCCCAAUUAGAUUGUAUGUUUCUUUAGGUAAAAGAAUAAGGACUUUACAGAGCUAGUUAAAAAAUACUGUAUGAACAGCUACUGUAUGCUGGUCACGUCUUUCUCCAGUGUGUUACCCCAUCCCACUGUGGUCAGUUUCAUGUUCACAAUGCAGUUAACACUUAAAUACACUUUCUUAAGUAUAUACUUAAAUAUACUCUCAAUAAAUUUAUUGAAUUAAAGUGACCUACUUAGUGUGAGUCAACCUUUCUUCACCUGUCACACCCUCCUUAAAAUAAUGGGACUUUUAAUUUGGACAACCUAUUAUUAAAAAGAUGGAAUGAUAAAAUGUCUUCACAGUCUCCCAUGGCAUAGUUUUUCCUAGGGACAUGCUUGAUUAAAAUUUGACACAGGGAAGUGUUUUUUUUUUUUUUUUUUUUAUAUACAGGAUGAAAUGUAUGCAAAAGACCAUGACUAUGUUACUAUCAUAGUUUGUAUUCUUGAAGUUUGGAUCUAAUUUUUGAUUUAGGCAUUUUGCCCCCAAUGAAAUAUUAUAUGUUAUAAUGUAGCAGCUAAUAAGAUCUGAUACAGUGACUUUAAAUUGAAUUUCAUUAAAAAAAUAAGAGCAUAAAAUGUCUUCCUAAUAGUCUUAAUUAGGGAAAAUGGAAGAUCAUAGUAUUUCUGUAUUAAUGCACCAACUUAGAUAAUUGGGGUAAUAUGAAAUGUGCAGUGAGAAAAAUAGGAAGUUUGGAAGCCAAGGGAAAAAUAACCCACUACUUUCCAGUUUCUAGGGUUUUUUGUUUUGGACCAAGGAAGCUCACCAGAUGUCAAACACAAUGUCUGAAAGUAAUUAUUCUUUUUCAUGCAUACGAGUCAGUAUCGUACUACCGCAGCCCUUGUUUCGUAGUGCCUACUUCCCUGGGAAAGGCAUUGUUCCUAGCUCACUGCUUCACAACUGCCUCUCGUCUCUUGAUUAGGACAUUGUAUGAAAACAGUGCAUUCGGCGCAGGGUUCUCACUAAUCUCUCUCCUUUCAUCCGAGCCUUCCCGUUUUUCAGAGAGCUCUGCCUUUGCAUUUUUAAUUGAAUGCUCCUAAAAGCUGAUAUUCGUGAAUUCUGCUUUCCUGAAAUCUCUGUUCGCACCUCACUACGAAGGUCUUAUCUGUCUCUUUUAUAUUUCAGUCUGGCUGGAGAGUAAAAUUAGUUGUGAUUUCCUAAUUGGAAGCUACAUGGGGCAUCCACAUGAUGAUAACUGUACUGAGAACUCAAUCUACCCAAGCGCUCUGAAACAGAAGGUCGCCAUUUUGUAAAACCAUAGAAAAUGCUACCAGGCAUUUUACAGAAUUGUCAAUCAGGAUAGAAUGGACACUAAUUGCUUCUCCCACAGCUGUUAACAUUCCUCUUCAGUGGCCAAGCAACCCUUAAGACAGGAACAAACUCUUCUAGAUGUCUGAAAAUUUUCUACAAACUGAAGUACAGGUUUCCAAGGUGACUUCUGUGCCCAGCUGUCCAUUGAUUAACAUGAAUGAAGAGCUAACAUUUCUGAACAAAUAAAGUAUUUUAGAGAGAAUGAUCUGAGUCUCCCAAAAGGAUGUAGUGAUCAAAUAAAUUUCUAGUUUAUAAUUUUGAGGAGUGUUUGUGAUAUUAUGGUAUUAUACUUUACUUUUAACAAUGUUCUCCAAAGUCGAUGUAAAAAGUGAGUAUAUCAAAGGAUGGAUAGAUCAAUCCAAUAGGGUCCAUACUGAUAACGAGUUAUUAAGAAUUUCUUGUAUAUUUUUAUCUAAAAAUUUUAAAAAAGUAAGCUUUGCUAGUAUUAAAGUAAAAUUUUGCAGUAAGGAAAAAUUUGCAGUAGGACAAGUUUAUAGUUCAUAAAUAGAUAUAAAUAUAUAGUGAUUGCAUGCUCUGAAAAAUUAAUGGGAGUGUAUGUUAGUUAUUUAUAUUGGUGUAUAACAAUUAUUCCAUAACAUAACAUCUUAAAACAGCAAGCAUUUACAAUCUCACAGUUUUUAUGGGUCAGGAAUCUGGGUAUAAUUCAGCUGGCUCCCUGUAGCUCAAGGUCUCUUAUGAAUUUGAAAUAAAGCUGUUGACUAGGGCUGUGGUCACAUUUUAGGCUGAACUAGAGGAGAUUCUGUUUAAGGUUCACUCACCUAUUUUAUCGGUAAAAUUCAGUCCCUGUCAGACUGUUUGAAGGCUUAAGUCCUGCACUGGCUGUUGGCUGGAGGCCUUUCUCCUUUCCUUGCCUUUUUAUAGGGUAGCUCACAAUAUGGCAGCUGAUUUUCCUUAGAGAAGAUGAAUGAGAGAGGUAAAGUAUCCAAGUCAGAAGCCAGACUCUUUUACAACUUAGUCUGAGACGAGGCAUUCCAUCAUGUUUUCCAUAUUCUGUUUAGUGAGAUUCCAGCCUCCUCUGUUCAUGGGAUUCUUCAGGCAAGAAAACUGGAGUGGAUUGCCAUGCCCUCCUGCAGGGGUUCUUACCAACCCAGGGAUCGAACCCAUGUCUCCUGUAUCUCCUGCACUGGCGGGUGGGUUCUUUACCACUGUUCAGUAGAAUAGAAUGAUAGAAUCAAGUCAAACAAAAAUGAGUUGCUGAACCUAGCAACUUGACAGGAGCAGGUUAUUUGCUUGCUUGCUUGCUUUACUUCAGUUGUAUCUGACUCUUCGCAACCCCAUGGACUGUAGCCUGCCGGGCUCCUCUGUCCAUGGGAUUUCCCAGGCAAGAACACUGGAGUGGGUUGCUAUAUAAGGAUUUAAAUACAAGGAGGUAGAGAUUUGGGGGAACUACCUUAGAGACUACUUACCACAGAGCACGUGAUUAAAAAUUCUGGAGACUUUUUUUUAGAAUACAGGUCUGUAGACGCUUUUGUAAAAAUUCAGGUUGCAAAUAGUUUAGGUAGCAUUGGCCAAAUAUGAUCAGCACUGUAUAUUCAUCUUCUUUUUACUCUUUAAAAAUAUAAAAUUUUUCUUAGCUUGAGGGUCAUGCAAAAGUAGACCAUGAGGCAGAUUACUCCUUCUGACUAUUGUUUGCUAGGAGGUACUCUAGUAGACUUUGAGGUAGAUUUUGGCUCAAAGCUCGAGAUUUUUAAUGAUUAAAGCUAUCCAAUGAUGGACAGGAAAGCCUGGCAUGCUGUAGUCCAUGGGAUCACAAAGAGUCAGGCAUGUCUGAGUGACUGAACUGAACUGAACUGAACUGAAUGAUAGAAUGGAUUUGCUCAAAAAAUUGGAUGAAUCACUUACUCAUUGAAUUCUUUAGACAGAAUUAAACCAUUGUCUCUCACUAGGUUAAGAGAGGUUGAGAUUGGGAGGGAAAGCAAGGAAAAUGGAUCAGUUCAGCCCUUACCAAAGUCAGAACAUUAAUUUAACAAUAAAAGAGCCCCUGAAUGAAUAAAGUUGGAAAUGAUAUGUAGUCUUUGCAAUUUUGAAAGAAAUACAAAAUUUUAGCACAUCCAAGUCUCUGAGAAGUAAAGAAACUUGUGUUUUUCUGUUUCCUUUGAAAUUAUUUGACUCAAGAAUCUCCUAUCCCCUUUAAUUUUAAUAAUAUUUGUUACUUUUAUUCCAUAGAACAAACCUAGGAAACAUAAGAUUAAAUGACUUAUACUAUCUCUUCCAACUUUUUAAUUUUAUUUUUAAAUUUUCAUAUAUCUUUAUUUUUUAUUAAAGUAUAGUUGAUGUACAAUAUUGUAUACAUUACAGGUAUACUAUAUAGUGGUUCACAAUUUUUACAGGUUUUAUUACAUAUAUAGUUAUUAUAAAAUAUUGGCUAUUAUACAGAAACAUUGUAUUAUAUAGUCUUAUAGCUCAAUUUGUACUUGAUAGUUUGUACUUCUUAAUCCCCUACUCCCAUAUUGCUCCUCCUCUCUUCCUUCUCCCCACUGGUAACCACUAGUUUAUUCUAUAUCUGUGAAUCUGCUUCUUUUCUGUUAUAUUCACUAGUUACAUUCACCAGUUUUAUUAUAUUCACUAUAUUUGUUAGUUUUGUAUGUCUUAGACUUUGCAUGUAAGUGAUAUUAUACAAUAUUAGUCUUUAUCUGUCUUAUUUCUGUCUUAUUGAUUUGACUUAUUUCACUUAGCAUAAUGUUUUCCAAGGCCAUCCAUGUUGCUGCAAGGGACAAAAUUUCAUUCUUUUCUAUAGUUGAGUAGUAUUCCAUUGUGUGUAUGUGUGUGCAUCUGUAUUGAUGUCUGUCUGUCUGUCUGUAUACCACACCUUCUUUAAUUCAUCUGUUGCUGCACGCUUAGGUUGCUUUCAUAUCUUCCUCCAGCUUUUUUAGUUCAUGAUUGUAUACAUUGUUAAGAUAUUAUUGUUUUUCUUUUUUUAGGUUAUAGUUUUAUGUAUAUCUGUCUUCCUAAGAGGAUUAGGUCAUUUUAACAUUUAUCAAUGCCUUAUAUCAGGCCUGGUCCUCUUGUUAGGCAUGGAAAGGUAAAAAUAGCAUAGCUCUUGUCCUCAAAAAACAUUAGUUUCUUCUAAGCUCUGAACGUUAGCACAGUGCUUUUCACACAGAAGCUACUUCAGAAAGGUUUGUUGAAUGGAUGAAGAAUGAAUAAAACCUUUUGAGCCAUCUGGGAUUAUGGACAUAGAAAAACUCAAUAAAUGUAUACGAAAUAAAUCAAUGAAUUCUGGUCGAAAUGUUACAGCGCAUUCAGUUAUCCUGAUGUUGCCAUAUACCUGCCAUAUAUGUUCCUGAACAAUCAAACUAUGUUUAUCGCCAUUAUAAAUUAAGAUGCUUAAAGGAAACUUGGACUCCAGAAAUUUGGAUUCAUACUACAAACUGCCACUUUAAUAAUAACUCUUGCAGAUUCAGUUGACGUCUUUUCUACUAGAUGGUUUGAUACGACUGUGGCUUUCAUCUUUGUAUAAUAGAGCAUUAUCUGGUUACAACACAUAAUUCAAUUAACAUUAUCCUUUAAAUUUCUCUAUCCUCUGUCGAUAUGCUUAAAUUUAUUCCCCUUUAUCCUUGCCUCUCCCAUUUCAACCUUAGAAACUACUGUCAUUAAUCUAUAUCUUUUGAGGCUAUCAUUCCACUUUAGCUAGGAACCAUUUCAUUCUUAUCAUCCACAGUGCAUCAUCUGGGCUGUUCUUGUCUAUCCUGCGUAUUGCCAUCAAUAUUCCAUCCUUAUAUAUUUUUAAUCUCAGCCAAGAAUAUUGUAUCAUCUUCAAUUCUGGUCAGAUAAAAUAAAUGUUCCAUUGGAUAUGUAAAUGAUCCUCUAAGCCAGAUAAAUUAGGAGGUUUUGCUUUCAGUGUUGAAAAAAGAUCUUUAUCCUUAAAUCAGACGUUAGGGAAACAAACGGAAUGUUACAUGCUGGCAUAUUUUAAAUGCUAAUUUUUUUACUUCCCUAUGAAGGAAAAAAAUGGCAUUUGCAACUCAAGAUUUGCUCUGGAAAAAAAAAGUUUUUUCAUUUAUUUACCAAAAAAUAAGAAAAGGAGGAUCAGGAGCAUCUAGGGAAACUUUUUUUCUUUGCCUGUCUCUCCAGCUGUCAGGUUAUAAUAGCAUUGGCCUCUGUUGCUGGGCUGGAAGAAAAUGGAUGCCCCUCAAAUUAGCCUGGGAAAUCAAAUUUCAUAAUGUUUUAACUGGAAGUAAUCUAAAAUUAUACCUGAUCCAACUCCAUUUUUAUAGUUAAGGAAGCUGGGAGGAAAUAUAGUUGAGGAAGCUAAAGGAAAUUGCAUGUAUUAUUAAAGGCCACAUAAUUCUCAAGACUAGACUGGAGGCCAAGUUUCAUGGCUCCCAACUCAGUGCUCUUUCUACACUCAGCACAUUGACUGAAACAAAGCAAAAUGAUGAGUUUGUUGCAAAACUUCCCAUCAGCAAGUCAGAAAACUUAAGAUGAAAGGAGCAAUGUCUUCCAAGUUGCUCACAGACUGGGGGAUUUCUAUGGGGUAAAUGCAGAAGUCUUUUUUUUUUUUUUUUUCAGUUUAUUGGCUGCCUAGGGGUCUUCUUGCCUAUGGAUCAAGGACUCUGAGUCAGGGGAACAAGAAAGCCCACUGAGAUGGCAUGGACAUACUUGGCAUUUGGCGAGUGGCUGGCAUCCUCUGCUGGUUUUGAGAUGAGCUGUUAAGUUCCUGUGCAUGUGCCCUCAGUUGAGACCCCAUGAACUAUGUCUUACCAGGCUUCUCUGUGUCUGGAAUUUUCCAGGCAAGAAUACUGGAGUAAGUUGCCAUUUCCUACUCCAGGGGAUCUUCCCUACCCAGGGAUCAAACCCAGGUCUCCUGUGUCUCCUGCAUUUGUCAGGCAGAUUCUUUACCACUGAGCCACCUGGGAAGCCCUUUUGGCAGUAAAGAAUCCUCCUGCAAUGUGGGAGACCUGGGUUCUGUCCCUGGGUUGGGAAGAUCCCCUGGAGGAGGGCAUGGCAAUCCACUCUAGUAUUCUUGUCUGGAGAAUCCCCAUGGACAGAGGAGCCUGGUAGGCUACAGGUCAUGAGGUUGCAUAGAGUUGGACCCAACUGAGUGGCUAAGAACAACGCACAGGGUUAGUUUAAGCUUUCAUUAUACCCCUGCACUGCCAUCUCCAUUUUGUCCCUGACAUAAUUGACUUCGUUAGUUUGGCUCUGUAUACUUCAUCGUAUCAUACUUCAUCAACUUUGAUGAAUAUUUAAGUGAAGACUUCAUGAGCAAAUCAGAGCCCUGAACAAUAGGAAAUAUUUUUAUAGUCUGGUCCCUGAAUUUUCACUAGCCUUCUCUCUGGUCUUUCUCAUAGAAUACACAAAAGAUUUUCUUUGUUUAGGGAUUUUUGCAGUCCUCCCCACCGCCCUGCUUUUAUAACUGUGUGUCUCUGUUUGAAAUGCCCUUCUGCUUUUUUUCCUGUCUGGCUAAUUGUUUCUACGUGCAGCUUGGGAUAUAGAGGAAAAAGUCAUGUAUAUCUCACCGGAUUUUCCAGUUUUCCUGAAGAAAAUGGUAUGCAGUACCGUGUACCUACAAAAUUACCUUCCAAUACAGCAAUUGGUUCCAUUAAAAUAGCCCCUCUUAGCCCUAAGAGGAGACUGUACAAAUAUUUCAAACACAGGGUCUGUAGUUGGUAGGCAAUACAGUGCAAGCCAGCUCUUCUUUUUAACUGUUAUGCCCAGAAGAGAUCUUUGAAAUUUAUAAACAGAUGGAUUCUUUUUGCUUGAUUCACUAAUGUUUUACAAUUAACUAAUUAACAGGUUUAUUGCCAAAAUUAGCAAUAAAAAGUGUUCGGGAGCUUCGACCAAAGCAGUCUUUUGCAAUUACAUAGAUACCAAAACAAUCUGCAUGAUAGUUUGAGGCUAAACAUUGCUCAAAUCAGAAUUUCACCUGCUGUUUCCAAAUAAAAGUUGACAAAUACAAAAAUGAACCCUGCAGAUUUCCACACUCCUUUCAUAUACACCAGUCUCUGCCUUAAUUAAUAAUAAUUACAGGUAACACAAACUGUAGUUGGAAGGUCUAAAUGGACCCAGAUUGCUUUCAAGUGUGCAAAAUUGCUUAACCAACACAGUGCUGCAGGACUAUUAGGAAGCAUUUUUAUGUGAAGUCCAUCUGCUCUCCUCUAGCUGGCAGGACCUUAUUUGACCUAUUCAUCUUCAUCUCCUACUGUUCCUCACCACCAGCCAGGUCAGUGUCCUGACCUGUGAGUCAUCAUUGCAUGGCUCCUCAGAUCCCACCCCUCAUCGCUCUCUAGCACAUCCCAAGCUUUGGCUAUAUUGAAAUCUUUGUAUUUCCUUGACUAUGCCACACUCUGUCUUUUGCUUGGUGUGAACUAUUUUUCUGCCUUGGGUACCUUCUGGGCUCUUUGUGAUUUAGUUUGGGCAUCACCUCUUUGCGGAUGUAUUCCCUAUCAACCCCUUAUUCCUGACUUUGGAAGAUGGAAUUAGAUUUAGGAGGGGAAGGAGGGCAGGCUAUCUUCACCUUUUUUGAUGUCCUUUCACUGAACUGUAAGCAAUUUACGGCAAAGAAAUACUGGAAAAUUUUAAAAUUUGAUUUUUAAAAUAAUUCUAGAUUAGACAGAUAAAUAUCUAUUGGAAGAAGGAAAGAAAGAAAGGAAAAAAGAG
ensembl:lncRNA